UGCGGGAGACAGUGGAAGACAGGAGUGCCUGGCAUGCUCUGGUCCAUGGGGUCACGAAGAGUCGGACACGACUAAACGACUAAACAACAACAACAAUAUAUAUUUCUAAGAGGCUUCAACUCAGGAGCUAUGGCAGCAAGGCUGAGGUACCGCAGCAGCUUCCAAGGGGAGGGAAAUGCUGACCUCAUCUCACGUGCUGUGAAUGGUUGGGGAAUACAACACAAAGGAACAGGUAACACAAAGAACCAAUAGAUUACCAGUGAGGCUCUAUAAAGUGGUUGGCUUCUCAAACUAGAACUGCACAAAAUUAUUUUCCAAAAUUUCCACCAUAUUUGUCGGAGGGGGGAGGGAGUGCUGAGCAUUCCACUGAAUUUCUCCAACAUUUUCUAAGGGGUGGGUUACCAGAGCUUCUUGCUACCCCCCUCCCAAGUUCUUUCUUUAAUUGUCAUGGCAUGUAGCCACAGCAGGCACUGGGCAGCCUGCCUGCCUUUUUGCAUCCUCCAUAAUGCUCUAGAUGUAGUGCCAUUCUAAUGCUUUCUGUGUGUGAAUUUUUGUGGGAGGGGGCAGGGAGGGAAACAGCUGCUGCUACUACUACAAAAAAAACCCAGAAUACUUACAGAAAAUUAUGCAAAGUGGUUUUCUUUUUCAGGCGGUUCAGUUGGGUAUGACACAAACAGAAAUCUGAAAAAUUUUCUCUGACAAAUGUCUUAUGAGAAAUUUUGGUUCAGGUUUACCUCAGAGUGAGUAACGUGUUGAGCAGGUACAGGCCAAACUGUGACUGGCUUCUCAUCUCUGGGCUACCAGCCCAUAUAAUAUCAAGUGAAAUACAUGGAAGGGAGGGCUACCUCUGCCAACAGCUGAAAGGCAGUUUUUAAAUGUCAGCUAUACAAUUCUGAUAAGAACAGGAGCUGCAAAGAUCAGUAUCAGCUCUUUUCUCUUGAAACAUAUAUAUUGUGGUAACAUAAAGGGUGGGGAGAAAAGAGUAAACAUUUUCACCUUAGGAAAUCUGCUGACAAUAGAUUAUGGUGUACAAUGUACACGAGUGAGGACUGAGAAAGAACACAAAAACAAAACUAGAAAAUUAGCAACAUGGGCAGAAAAAAAUAUGAAAUUCAGCUUGGAUAAAAUGCAAGCUAGUGCAUCUCUGAAAUGAUAAGCUGAAACACACACAAACAAACAAAUGCACACUCUCAGCAGGAAACAAAACCCCAGAAACAAAAGUCGUAAUUCUGUUAAUAGCGGAUGGCCAAUUAGACACAUCCAUUUGUAGCUGGAUAUGGUGGUGAAGAAAAAAGGCCAAUGUAAUUUGAGGCUGUAUACACAAGAACAUUAAGUUAUGAGAAUCGAAGAAAUAAUUGCUUCUUUCUCUGUACACCUGGUUCAGGCGAUGACUUCAUCAGGAACAUUGUCUUUCACUUUUGGCAUCUUUUGUUUUUGUAUAAACAGGGACAGAUUUGAGAUAGGUCAGCUACUACAAAAGCAAAAACAAAUGACUUAGAAUGAAAAAUUCUUCCAGAGACACCGAUAGCUUUAGGCUUUAGUCUAUUGUCCCAAUAGACAAACACUAUUGGGUAACAUUUCCAUAUUAAUAAUCAAAGCACAUGAGUAAUGUGUUGAUGUUAACAGUAGUAAUAUUAAUGGUUGUUAUAACAGGAAGGAAUAAGUGGUUGCAAUUAAGAAAAGGAAACUUGAACUUGACUAAAUAACUUUCUAAAUAUUUAUUUAUUUAAACAUUUAUACCCCAUUUUUUAUAUAAAAUAAACCCAAAGCAUAUUACAAAAAAAUAAACAUGUCUGUUUUUAAAGAAAUAAACACAAUUCCCCCAUCUGUUUCUUCCCCCUUCUGCUUCUAAUUUUGUUUUUAUCUGAUCUUCCUAUAAUUUAUUUUUAAAAACUAUUUCUGUGCCAAUUGAUGUGAUAAGGAUCACCUACCUCAUAGGGGUGAUGUGAGGACAAAAUUGGAAGGAUUAUAUAAAGAAUUCCCUUUUUUCAACGCAACAAAUCUUGACUUGCCUCUGCUCUUCAUAAAUCCAACAAUCCAAAUAGGACUUUAGUUCCAGUUUCCCACAAUGGGGUUAAAUUUCCAGGGACUACCCAAAUAAUGACUCUUUGCUUUAGCUUUCAUGGACUCAGACUAAUUAGCAUAAAAUGAAUUCAUAAGGUCUGCUGAAAGCUGAGGAGCAAGACUCUUUUUCUCCCUGACUCCAAACACUUUGGGAACAAGCAG